UUAGAAAGAGAAUUUGAUUCAUCAAGCCACCUAAAAGAAAACGAGAACAUGAAAUAAACACAUAUGAAAGGUAUUAACUCUUUCUUAACCUCAGUCUCCUCGAAAGCAGAGCCUAAGUCAAGACCCUGGACCAGUGAUGAUUUAGAAAAUGAUCUCUGAAAGCAAGAAAGAGAAGCCAAAGGAGUUGACUGAGGUGUGAAUUUGUGACUGCCUCAUGCUUUAUCACAGUUAUCAUCCUUCAUGAAUCAGAGAUUUCCCAGAGGAGGAAAUGGAAGAUCCAUAGCAAAAUUUGCAUCAGGAGGCUGACCUUGCACCUAACAAGAAUAAUCAAAGCCUGCUUAAAAGUGGUUGCAGAUAAAACAACUUGAGGUGGAGUUGGGACCAAGAGUACUUGUCAUGGCAUGCAACUGUUGACCUAUAACACCUGCAGUACUGCUCCAUGCAGUGUUAACUAAAGAACUAACUGAUAUGAGUUACUUUGAUCACAAAGUACAAUUUUUAUAACAGUACUACUUAGGUGAAAUCUAUUGAAUUAAAGUAUAAAGUAAUUUUUAUUUUUCAACAUCUUGAAUCUACUAUUUUAGAAUUUCUAGGAUGUUAUAAAAGCAAGAAGAACCAUAUCAACUGAGGAUUUAGAAACAAAGUGACAAGGGAACCUGGAGGAAACAUAUUUUCAGCUGGAGAUUGAACACAUGACCACCAGGAAAAUUGUUACAACCUGGAAGUACGUUGGAAAUAAAUUUGAGCUUCCUCAAAUUUAUUUGAGGAAAGCAGGGUUAGGAAAGCAGGGUUAGGAAAGAGGGUUAGGAAAGCAGGAAUUUUUGUGAGGAAAAGGAAAAUUAUGAAGACAUAGAAGAUUGUUUUCUGACCAAAAACGAUGGUUUAUUUAUAGUUUAGAUGUUCUGUAAUCAAAACCAAAUCAUCUAUGAAAUAAUUUGAACUUUGAUAUAUGUUUUGUUAUCUGGGGAAAAUAGUUUGCUGUUUUGAAAAAUUCA
rnacentral:lncRNA from 10 species